GGAUUAGAUACCCUGGUAGUCCACGCCGUAAACGAUGUCGACUAGCCGUUGGGCCCCUUGAGGGUUUAGUGGCGCAGCUAACGCAUUAAGUCGAUCGCCUGGGGAGUACGGCCGCAAGGUUAAAACUCAAAUGAAUUGACGGGGGCCCGCACAAGCGGUGGAGCAUGUGGUUUAAUUCGACGCAACGCGAAGAACCUUACCUACUCUUGACAUCCUGCGAACUUUCUAGAGAUAGAUUGGUGCCUUCGGGAACGCAGUGACAGGUGCUGCAUGGCUGUCGUCAGCUCGUGCCG
rnacentral:rRNA from 1 species